UACAGAGGGUGCGAGCGUUAAUCGGAAUUACUGGGCGUAAAGCGUGCGUAGACGGUUAUGUAAGUCAGGUGUGAAAGCCCCGGGCUCAACCUGGGAAUUGCAUUCGAGACUGCAUUGCUGGAGUACGGAAGAGGAAGGCGGAAUUCCCGGUGUAGCGGUGAAAUGCGUAGAUAUCGGGAGGAACAUCAGUGGCGAAGGCGGCCUUCUGGUCCAGUACUGACACUCAAGUGCGAAAGCGUGGGGAGCAAACAGG
rnacentral:rRNA from 1 species